CCUACGGGAGGCAGCAGUGAGGAAUAUUGGUCAAUGGGCGAGAGCCUGAACCAGCCAAGUCGCGUGAAGGAUGAAGGAUCUAUGGAUUGUAAACUUCUGGUAUAGGGGAAUAAAGUGAGGAACGUGUUCAUGUGUGUAUGUACCAUAUGAAUAAGCAUCGGCUAACUCCGUGCCAGCAGCCGCGGUAAUACGGAGGAUGCGAGCGUUAUCCGGAUUUAUUGGGUUUAAAGGGUGCGUAGGUGGUUAAUUAAGUCAGCGGUGAAAGUUUGUGGCUCAACCCUAAAAUUGCCGUUGAAACGGGUUGCCUUGCGUCUAUUUGCGGUAGGCGGCCUGCGUUGUGUCGCGG
rnacentral:rRNA from 1 species